GAGUUUGAUCCUGGCUCAGGACGAACGCUGGCGGCGCGCCUAACACAUGCAAGUCGAACGAGAGAUGAGGAGCUUGCUCUUCAAAUCGAGUGGCGAACGGGUGAGUAACGCGUGAGGAACCUGCCUCAAAGAGGGGGACAACAGUUGGAAACGACUGCUAAUACCGCAUAAGCCCACGGCUCGGCAUCGAGCAGAGGGAAAAGGAGCAAUCCGCUUUGAGAUGGCCUCGCGUCCGAUUAGCUAGUUGGUGAGGUAACGGCCCACCAAGGCGACGAUCGGUAGCCGGACUGAGAGGUUGAACGGCCACAUUGGGACUGAGACACGGCCCAGACUCCUACGGGAGGCAGCAGUGGGGAAUAUUGCACAAUGGGGGAAACCCUGAUGCAGCGACGCCGCGUGGAGGAAGAAGGUCUUCGGAUUGUAAACUCCUGUUGUUGAGGAAGAUAAUGACGGUACUCAACAAGGAAGUGACGGCUAACUACGUGCCAGCCGCCGCGGUAAUAC
rnacentral:rRNA from 1 species